rnacentral:rRNA from 1 species
AAUGCGUAGGAAUCUACCUAGUAGUACGGAAUAGCCAUUAGAAAUGGUGGGUAAUACUGUAUAAUCCCCGAGGGGGAAAGAUUUAUCGCUAUUAGAUGAGCCUACGUUAGAUUAGCUAGUUGGUGAGGUAAUGGCUUACCAAGGCUAUGAUCUAUAGCUGGUCUGAGAGGACGAUCAGCCACACUGGAACUGAGAUACGGUCCAGACUCCUACGGGAGGCAGCAGUGGGGAAUAUUGGACAAUGGGCGAAAGCCUGAUCCAGCUAUGCCGCGUGAGUGAAUAAGGUCUUCGGGUUGUAAAACUCUUUC